ACACGACUCUCGGCAACGGAUAUCUAGGCUCUCGCAUCGAUGAAGAACGUAGCAAACUGCGAUACUUGGUGUGAAUUGCAGAAUCCCGUGAACCAUCGAGUCUUUGAACGCAAGUUGCGCCCGAAGCCAUUAGGCUGAGGGCACGUCUGCCUGGGCGUCACGCA
rnacentral:rRNA from 1 species